CAGAGUUUUCAUUCCUUGAAUGGAGGAGCUUCUUGAAACAGUGGGGUCCUGGAGAUGGGUGGAAGAAUUCAGCAUUUUUUUGUUUUGUUUUGUUUUGUUUUGUUUAGCAGUAGAUGAAUCAUUGUUCCAAAAUUCUUUCCUCUGUCCAGAUUUUGUAUCUCCCCAAUUUUUCCUUUUCUACCACCUCCCCCAAUGUUCUGGAAUUUGAAAUUGCUUGAUUAUAAAAACAGAAUUUGUCUGCAUGAUGAGAAUAAAAACUGUUCCACUCUUUUCUUAUCUGCAGGGUUACACCUGAAGACUAACCAAUAUUUUAUUCAUCCACCUACAUAAGCUGAUUUAUACUCCUGAAGUUUCGGUUGCAGCUUACAAAUGUCUCUCUUUUCCUGGCCUGAUGUACGGCAUGCUUUCAGUAUAAGUGUCCCCUGCCUGUACACAGUGACCUGAAAAUGCCUCCUCCUACAUUACCCUCACCAGCAGUCUUUGCAGCUGAUGACUUGGAUUUUCACAUGUCCCUUCCUAUAACUCUGUUCUUCCAUUCAAGCUUGCAAACAAUGAACUUUUUAAAUUGCAAUUCCAUGCUGCCUGAGCCACACCCUCACCUGGAGACUGAUUUGCACCCCUCUAGCAACGCUGAGCUGCUGAACUGCCAGUGUGGUACAAAGGUACAUGGAUGUUAAAAAAAACAUCCUCCAAUGUCUUUAGAAUAUUAGAAAUGUCUUUAGACUAUUAAAACCAUCCUUUAAUAUCUUUACAAUAUUUUUCUUAUUCUACAGAAGUAGCUAAUACUUCUAUUUUCUCAGAAGAAAACUCAACCACUUAAUGUUUCUACUCCCCAUAGUCUACUUGGUAUUUUAAAUAGCAUGUUUCAGAUCCUUUCUGUUUUCAAAGGAAAGAAGUUUUAUGGCAUAAAUAUUUUCCCUGUGAGGCUAGGAAUCCAAUGUGUUGGACACUAUAUUUUUAACAGUUAUGGUAUAUUAGGUCAUGGUCUUCUGUGGUUAGGUAUGACAUCAGGCCACCACAGAGCCAUACCAGGAGAAUCAUGGGGGAGAAGCAGUGUUAACCUGAUGGCCAGCAACACUCAGGGGAGUUUGAAAAAGCCAAAAGCUGGGUACCUUUUGGAAUAAUGUGUUCUUUCUCUGACAAAGCCAACCUGAGGUUACUUGUAAGCAUGCACACUCACAAGAUGUUUAGAGGAAGAGAUGGGGUGAAGAGCAUCACUGUGUGGAUUUUGCAACUUUAGCAAGAGAAUUUGCAAGGUAGGCAGCCAGAGUAAAUCCUUGACAAUUUGGUUGAGAGCUGAAGCUCUGUUUACUGCCUUUCCUAAAUGAGAAAGGCAGCCCAAACUGUUAACAGGCCCUGCUCACAAUCUGGUCCACUGGACCAUCACCUUAGUCAUUUCUAUUAUCUAUUCCACCUGUUUUGUUUGUUUGCUUGUUUUCUUAAUGCAGUGCUUGCAAUUAUUGGAUCUUUCUACCAGCAUCAUGAGGAGGCAGGCCAUAAAAACAACUUAACUCAGAAAGUAGACAUGCCAGAGAGAAUACCCAAGUGCCAGCCACCACCUGUGAGCUCAGUACAACUGCAGGUGGGCUGGUGGGGACAGACCCAGGCCCAGAUGCCUGAGCGGGAUCUCCUUCUGUUAUUCAUUGCUCUGGAGCAAAGGUUUCUUUAAGGUGUGUAAUGUUUAUGUACCCUUAGCAAGGAUGCUUCAGUCUCAUGUGAUGCUGCCUUGUUCUGGGGGGAAUGAAGACCUUAGCAGGGUCUGCCCCUCUGGCAAGCAUGCGACCAUCUGCAAAGCUUUGCAUCUGCUGGUAAGUAGGAGAGUUGCUGUUUCCACAGAGUUCAGAUCCUUAGGUUGUAGGCGAUUGGUUUCAUUUCUUUAUUUUUGCAGAGCAAAUACCUCAUACAUAUAUAUAUAUAUGUAUAUAUUUAUUUUUAUUUUGUCUGGGAAUUGGCUGUUUCUGUUACAGAUGCCUAACAGGACUUGUCUGCCUGGAAGGCCUUCUCAUUUUUUCUAAUUACAGUAAUUAGGCUAAUGAAAAAAUAUUUCUUUUACAUGUAAGCUUUAUCUCAGCUCAGAUUAACUCUCUUGCUUUCCCAGCAGAUGGUGAAGUGUUGUUCCACUGCUGCCCUUGUGUGUUAGAAGACAGAUGCAACAUGAAAUAUCUCUUACAAACCUCAGAGAACUCAUAUGAUUGUGCAUUUAUGUUUGCAUGCAUGAAAAGAGCACCCUCAAACUAUAAAGUAAUCUUGCUUUCGGCAUUUCUCAGUCCUUGAGUCCUCAGCUUGGUAAAUUAAAUAAUGUCCUAUUAGCGUGCAUUUGUAUUUGAGCACGUAAUAAAGUGCCACCAAAUGCUGAUACCACUGGUUCUUACACAUUUCUCAGAUUAGAUUUAUCAACUAAACAGAUACAGUUUUUCUUUUCCAAACGGAAAGAGACUUAAGAUUCAGAUGCAUUUCAUAUGCUCGAGUUAUGAACGCCUGCUAUUCAUACUCCAUACUCUGCUGCCACUACUGCUCCUGUCCCUGGUAAUGGCAGAGAUCUCCGUAGAAAUAGUGUAAAAAAUGUGUAGCAAUAUUGAAUAUAAACUCAUGAGUACUUGUUUCCAAUAUGCAGCUGAGACUGAAAAAAAUUAAAGUUAUUCAUAUAAUUUCAUGUGAUCACUCAGGCCAUUCAGACUUAACCAGUCUGGCUAGCAUUUUGAAUACAGACUAUUCCUAGCAACAUGCCUACAAAAGAUACACAGCUCAGGGAUUCAUGUUAAAAAUUUUUAGGGAAAUCAUUCUGAAAGAAAAAUUUGCUUAAACAGAUCGUCUUUCAGCUGUUCACAGACAAUCUACAAACAGUAGGAAAAUAUGCUUAUGGAGUGUAGUCUGUGGAACUGCAGCAGUUAUUAGGUCAAGUCUAAACAAGUGCACUAGAUUUUGAUUUCCUUCUCCCGCUGUUUUCCCUUCUGAAUUACUUGCACAAAAGCACCAACAAAAUCAGAUUUCACACAAAGGGAUUCUUAUCAGUCCCUUCCAUGUUACACAGGGAGAUGGAAGAGAAGAUAUUUCUGAUGACAUUUAAAGUUAUUCUAUUUCUAGAUUGUUCAACAGAUUCACCACUGCACAGGGAAGGAAAUCAGCUCUUUUAACUCUGCCUAUGGGACAAAUCCCCAGGAGUCAAAUCAUUCGCUUUGCUCACAGUGAGUGUUUGCUCUCUGCUUUUGAUUUCAUACACAACUUGACACAAGCUUGCCAGGCGACUGCUAUUCUUGUUAACUUGUUUUAAUGUGCUCAGGGAUUUUUCUUUUUUUCUUUUCUCUCUUUUUUUUUUUUUUCUUUAUUUUUUUCUUUUGUUAGCUGGUUUUGUUUUGCACUGGGGUUUUGUGGACUCUCACAGUCAAGACCUCUGAGAUAGUGCUAAAGUCCUGAAUUACUUACUGCUCUCCUGAGUUCAGUGAUACAGAGUCAAUUAGGGGUUUGAAGGAGGUGUAAGACUCAAAAACAAAAACAAACAAACAAAACAGUAACAAUCCCAUUUUCUUAUCAAAAUGACAGAAAUACACUAGGUUAUACUCCCAGGAAUGUCCUUGAGUGAUGCACUGAAUGCUGGAAUCCAGUGGUUUGCUCCCAGGUUUUUAAGGUGCUUUCCUGAGAGGGGCUGAGGAGCGGGCCCUGGGAGCCCUAUGUAUUGCUGGCCAUACCUCAUGUGCUGUGCAGCCACCUCCGCUCUCCUGGGGUAGCCUUCAAUGUGAGGCUGCCUCAUGAACACCUCAAAGCUCUGUCAUGCUGCGUCUGUGCUUUGUUUAUGCCAGCCCCCAUCUUGCAGAGCAGCAGGAGGAGGCCUGUGAGGAACACAUGCAUCAUUAGCCCCUCCAACAAGUGCAAGAUACUCAGUUUGCUUGGUGUUGAGUUGGGCUGGGCUGUACUUUGAAGCUCUCAAGGACAGGGAAAUGUUACUCCCUUGCCUUGGGUUGUUGCAAAACAGCUUUUAAUGGUUGACAAGUAUUUAUGAGAAAGUAAAUAAGGAACUCUCUGGCUUUUCAGGGGAAUAUGUAGCGUGCCUUUUUGAAACCACUAAGUAACAAUUAUGCCCGUGGUUUUGCAAAGAAAACCUUCACUAAACACUGAAGAGAGGGACAUGGUUUUGUGGGCCAGCAGGAUACAGCUUUCCUUGCAGCAGCACAGGCAAUGAGGGUGAGUUGCCUGUUAUCUGCAGAUGUUAUGAAUUGCACGGCCCCAGGAUGUCCUAAAGAAAGAACAUGUCCCAGUUGCAGCAGAAGUUUUGGAAUUUAGUGGAGUGAUAAGGUUCAUUGUUAAUCCAGCAGCAAAAUCCUCUCCCUCCUGUGCUUUGUGACAAAGGUAGACAAUAAAUAUUAUGGGCUGGAAGCUCUAUAAAAGAAGGCCUGGUUUUGCAGGCCCUGGUUUCAGGCCCCUAACAAGGGAUUGCUUCAAGCUGUAAAAAGUGCAAAUGCUCCUUGUUUAACCUAUUUUCUCUGUCAGUCUUCUGAUACCUCCAGCUGCUGUGUUCAUGCCCUUCCUCAGCCAAAAUGGAGCCAGGUGGAGAGAAAGCAAGGCUGUAGGCCUGGAGACUCCCUCCUCCCUCUUAUAGACAGGGCUUGGAGAACACAGAAAAUGUCAGAGAAAAGCAGGAGUGUCUCUUCCUUGGGCUGUUUUUCACCCUUUUGUGACAGGCAUCUUGGAGGACAGAUGAAGAGAAGAGGAGCUGCUGGUUGGUCAUGAUGCACCGCCUGGGAUAUUUUAUUUUCUGCAGCUGAUGUUGUGGUUUAUGCUGGCUGGUUUACUAAAUGGGCUGUUCUCAGACUUCGCUACACUUGUUAAUCACUUAUGUCUCUGUGUGAGUCACACAGCACCAGUUCUUGCACUUCCAAAGAAGAUAAGGUAGAAGGAAGCAAAGCCCAGAGCUUGGUGUGGGAUAUGUUGAGGUGGCAGCUUCACUUCCUUGAGUGACUUGUGGCAGGUCAGAAGCUUGAUAACAGCCAAGGACAAAGAUGAGCUGUCAUCUGGUGUGCAUAUGGAAGAACUCCUACUACAGACACUAUUUGGCAUACAAGACCUGAGCUAAGCACUUCAUGUGAAAGCUUACUUCAUUGGAAGCAAACUGAGAUCAUUUUCUUCAUGGUUAUUUCCUUGAUAAAACAAUCUGCAAACUAUGACAACUCUUCCCCUUAGCAACUUUCCUUUUCUCCCACAGCUCCUAUUGUAUCAAUUUUCUUAUUCUAUGUUCUGCUAAAAAUGUGUUAUUUUGAAACCUUCUGCUGGAAACAAAACCACAGCUAUGUCCUGCUUGUGCUUUCUAAUGACGUGGUUUGAAACCUUGUAUAUGGACACUCUGACCUUAACUGGUACUCAGACUGUGGUCUUCCAUGAAAACACAUAGCUGUCACUUGAAGGGAGAUUAGUAAUUCAAUAAAAUAUCUUUUUAUUAUUGUUGUCACCUCACUAAUGAAACAGAUUUGCACUAUAUGCUACCAAAAUUUCAUUACAAACUAUGCAAUGUAAUGACUAGUUUGUUUUGUUUUGUUUUGUUUUUAAUACAAAUUAGAGUUACAGUCUUUAAGACUUCAGAUUAUUUUUUUUUUGGUCCCCAUUCCUAGUUACUGCAACUGUCGAUAAAGAAGACAAUCCAAAUCUCUCAAAGCUCAGGAACAUGGCAGAAAAUAGUUCCCCAAAGGUCACAAGUCGUUCCUCUCUGUGAGAGAGGAGCAGAGGAAGAGAUUAAAAGCUGACAUGGGAUGUUUGCAGCUAAUGCUACUGUCGGUGUAGUGUUGGCAGCCUGUGGCUCUUGGGGUGCUCUGGAAAGCUGUACUCUCUGUUUAGCCCCAGAGCAUGGUUUCCUCCAUCCUUGUUUAGUCUCUCUGGAUCCUCUUAAAUGCCCUCUUGGGCCUUCUCUGGGCCCUCUUAGAUGGCUGUGUAUCAAGCACGGUGGUAGAGAGAAACUGCCUCCUCUUUCUUUUCUGCUUUCCCCUUCAGUAGAUUUUAUUCCCUGAAUGAAUGAAACAGGCUUAGUAUCAGUUUUAUUCCCAACAGUCCUUAAUACUCAACUUAAACUCAAAACCUAUACAUAUCCCUCAUAGCCCACAGCUUUUUCUGGAGCUGAGGAAAAGCAGAACUGAUGUCAUGGGCUAUUUUUAUACAGUGAUGUCUAAAAUAAUUGAUUUUUGUAGCAGUGAAUUGAUUGCACUACACUUUUCUUAAGCCUCACUGCCACCCAUCACCUCUUCCCCCAAGUCCUCCAGCAGAAAAUGCCAAGGCAAUGCCUGCCAGGGAUGGACAGUGGCCUUUGGUCUUGGAAUAAAAGCCAGAGAUGUGGUACUGGGUUUUCCUCUGGGCUCUCUUCUCCUCUCUCUUUGUCCAUGGUGCUGUGGGAGUGUUAAUGUUUGUGAUGCUGCAGAGGCAUAGGCAGGGGAGACUAAUCUCUGUCAUUGUGGUCAGCAUUGGAUUUCUGGGUUCUAUAACAGGAGCAAUGAUAACCAGAUUCUUGCAACGCUCUGAGGCUUAUGUAAAAAGAAUUUCAACUAGCCUAAAGAAAUCUGUGAUCUGAAGAGAAGCUUCCUGAAGUGGAUUCAGCAGCUUAUGAACUUGAAUGCUAGUGCAAGAGAAAGGAAGCGAUGUGGAACCUGCACUACAAAUCUGGAGGUUCAGUCGAAUGAACAGACUGUCCUCUAGUGUCUGAACUCUUGUACUUCUGCACUGUGCCUUAUGUGCCUCAGUCGUAGGCAAGGUGCGAUCCCUGUGUGCAAAGUUGAGAUAAAGCACCUUGAGUAGCUGCCAGUCAGGCUAAUGCUUGGUGAUAGGAUCAUUGUUCUUAUCAGUGUUUUAAUAAAAACAAAGGGACACUCCUGAAAAUUGCAGUAUGUGCCAAACUUGGAGUUCAGUUCUUAACUGUUGGUUGGUUGAGCUUUAUUGAAAUUGUAGAUAUAGAAGAAUGCUGUGGAUAUACACUGCGUUUGACUUAAGGGGGAGUAGUAAGAUAACUGACCUUUGUACUAACGUAAUCUCUUUGAAUGCUGAACAUUCUUAUUCAGCAUUAAAAACAACAGUUAGGUCCAACUUAAAUCCCAUCAACAUCUGUCUACCACUUAAGAACUACGAUUUUACUAGUCCUGAUGUAAAUCCGAUGGUUACCGGCCCCUCUGAAAACCUUAGAAAAGCUACUUACUGCAAGUAAGCUCCCUUUAAGUACUGAUAGGACUAUUAACCCUACAUAUACUCUUUAAGGAACAGACAAAUGUAAUACAGACUUUGAAAGUAUACCUAUGAUGAAGAUGGAAAGGGUUUUCUUUAAAAAAAAAAAAAGUCUUCUAUUGAACAAAAAUAUUAAGGUUGCUUAAUAAAACAGUUAUCUUACUUUGGAAGUUUGGAAGUGGGGCAGCACUAGUGUAUUUACUACCUUGUUUCUGAACACUUUGUAUCCUUGGAAAGGUUAAGAUAUACCUGGAACUUUCAAAUACAUAGCUUUCUGUAGAGUUUGUGCAUUUCUAGUUUAAAGGGACCAGUAGUGUUGUACACGUGAGAUGUCUUAAGUGUGAAUGUUUGGAGUGAGUAGAAAUUUUAAUGUUAUUUACAAAGAGCAAAACUUAAAGGGCACAAAGUUCUGUAUGAGGAAUAAGACAUCUUUUACAUAUUUAUUUAACUGAAUGCUUUUCAGCAGUUGACUAUUAAUACUGACAAGAAUAAAUUGCCCAAGUUUUUGCUGUUAAAAUGUCAAAAAGACUUUCAGAGCUGUUGAAGUCACUGGCACUGCUGUACAGCUAAAAUAGGGUUAAAAUACAAUUUACAAUCCAGCUUUAUCACUUUGCGCUACAAAACAGUAUAAUGAAUUAACCUGCUUGCUGUUAUUUUUCUUCCACAUAAACUGUUCUUUCUUUUUAAAGUGCUAAGGAUGCUAAUAUUUUUUUCAAAGUAUUUUCAUUUUUUUGAAAAUGUACGAAGCUACAGGCUAUGAAGGGAACAAUGUAAAAUGCAGGUUUAUAAACCUUCUCAGUGUUACACUUCUAGCUUUGAAUCACUUUAAAAUGCUGUAUUAUAGGAAUACCUAUAUUUUCCUUACUUUGAUUUCGAAACUCACUUUUCAUGGCUUUAUUAUUUUGCUUUUACUUUCUGCUGAUACUUUUUGGAAUAACAAUCAUAGCACUUUAAUAGGCAAUUAAGUUAUUGCAUCUGUCAAAAUGCAUUUUAAACUUCUCCCCAUUGUCUUACAAUAUGAGAACUGGUUUCAGGUAUUUAAUUCAAAUGGAAUAAUAAAAUAAUGAUAUUUCUCCUAAUGUGCCUUGUAACACAUUUUUAGGGGAGAAGAUUUUUAAAAGUUGCUAUCUCUUCAUUGUUGUUCUUUUUUAGGUAUUAUGAAUCAACUUUGUUGGAUGAGGCAUAUUGAAUAACUGACUUUAAAGUGUUUGUGUUUGACAACUUAGAAAUACUUGUCUGGAUCAAUAACAACCCUCUCACAAAGCAUUGAAUUCAGUAAUUUAAAAUGUCUCAUGGCUUUACCUCACCCUGAAUCUUGUUCCCAGUUUCCAAAUUACAUUGAGCAUCUUGAUUCUUAUUACAUGGGUUUUAUGCUAUCAGUGUUCAAAGGCUUGCUUUAUUUCACUAACUUACUCUUAUCAGACCACUGCUAACUUAAGAAAUUUAUGUAACUAAUAAAAUUUUAUUGAUGAACUUCAUUCUUCAUUUUAAUUGUAGUGCCAAUGAUUUUUUUUGCCAUUCUAACCUUCCUCCGUUGAUGGGGUAUCUUUUCAGGUGUUGAAUAAUGUUGAAUAACCUUCCUCCAAAUAAUUUUUAUUGUGUAGAUUCAUUGUAAUCGCUUUUAAAGUGGUUAGGUGCUUAUUUAUCUCUGCUUUAUAUGACAUUGUCUAGCAACAACAAAUAGGCAGUUAAUGUAGUGCCUAGCUGGUGUAACAGACAAAGUUUUUAACUGUGUCUCGUGAGGAAUAAAUAAGGAUGACUAGUUUGUCUAUGAAAUGUUCAUUGAUCAUGGCAUGAACUUAAUAGAUAAAAAUUCCAGUAGAGAAAACAAAUGCAAGUGGCCUUACGUCUCUGAAACUUGGAGGCUUCAUUCCACAUCCUUAGGAACGGCAUUGUUAAACUUGUAAAAAGUGCUCUAUUCAAAGCACAGCAUGUGUAUAUAUGCUAUUUAUAUAAAUAUAUGUAUGAAUUAUGUUUUGGAGGCCUAUUCUGUCCUUUACAGAAAGUAACAAUAGAAAUAACUUGCCCAAGAAAAAGAAAAUAGCUUAGGAUAACCUAUGGGUUUUUUUCAUCAUUACUAGGCUACAGAAGUAUCUUGUGCGUGAAUGGCACGGAUGGUACUCUGCUUUGCUUUGGACAAUAAAGCAUUGUGCAGAUGUCUACCCAGAAUCUUUUAGAGCUAUCUUUUAAAUAGCUCUGCAUGUUUCUGCAUCGUAUCCCUAAGCACGUUCUGUGCAUUGUUAAUUAUUAAUUUAUAGUAGAGAACAAAUACAUCAACGCAGCUUAAAUCUUUGGAGGAAGCAGGAAUACUGAAUAUACUGUUUCAUGUGAAAAUGCUUCUGUUGCUUUGUUAAAAGCUGCUAUUGUUAAAGAUUUGUAUGUUCCACACAAUUCUGACUUACUGAUGUAACCAGAAAUCUUGUUUUCAGAAAAUCUUCCAAAUAGCUAUUUUUUUAUUUAUCGGUAGUUACAAGUUUAAGAAAGUAAUCUGUGUGCUGUGACUAAUGGUGUAAUUUGAGGUUUGCUGUUCAGUGUCUUAAAGAAACCAAUAACUUAACCAGUUUUGAAUAAUCAGUGUGGACCAAAGACAGGAUUCCUGAUUUUAUUACUUGUAGCUUUCUCUUUUUGAAGUACAGUGUUUUUACUAUUCUGAAGGAAACGAUACUGAAGAAGGAAUGCCGAUAUUUAUUUUGGUUACAGUUUAUAUCUAUUUGAAUUGUGUUGAAGGAUAGAUACGUAAUGCCAUUGGAGAGGAAGCUGGAGUCAAAACUCUAAUACCUGUAAGAAUGGUUCUCAUUGUUUUCUGUUUUAUGCAUUUCAUUUACUAAGCAGAUGCUAAUAAUGCCUUUCUUUCAUCUUUCAUUGUCUUACUGAGUCACAUGGUUUUGUAUAUGUCCAUUCAAAAUCAUAUAUGUCUAUUUCCAUGGAAUAAAUUAAUUUUCUUCAGACACAGUA